ACGGCCAGGACUACAGGGGUAUCUAAUCCCUUUCGCUCCCCUGGCUUUCGUCCAUGAGCGUCAGUAAUGGCCCAGCAGGGCGCCUUCGCCACUGGUGUUCUUCCCGAUAUCUACGCAUUUCACCGCUACACCGGGAAUUCUCUCUGCCCCUACCAUACUCAAGCCUUUCAGUUUCCACCGCCAUGAUGGAGUUAAGCUCCACGCUUUAACAGCAGACUUGAAAAGCCGCCUGCGGACGCUUUACGCCCAAUAAUUCCGGAUAACGCUUGCCACUCCCGUAUUACCGCGGCUGCUGGCACGGAAUUAGCCGUGGCUUAUUCCUCAAGUACCGUCAUAUCUUCUUCCUUGGGAAAAGAGGUUUACAGCCCAGAGGCCUUCGUCCCUCACGCGGCGUUGCUCCGUCAGGCUUUCGCCCAUUGCG
rnacentral:rRNA from 1 species